rnacentral:rRNA from 1 species
CGGGGAUAGCCUUUCGAAAGAAAGAUUAAUACCCGAUGUCAUAGUCCUACCGCAUGAUGGGAUUAUUAAAGAAUUUCGGUAUGGGAUGGGGAUGCGUUCCAUUAGUUAGUUGGCGGGGUAACGGCCCACCAAGACGACGAUGGAUAGGGGUUCUGAGAGGAAGGUCCCCCACAUUGGAACUGAGACACGGUCCAAACUCCUACGGGAGGCAGCAGUGUGGAAUAUUGGUCAAUGGACGAGAGUCUGAACCAGCCAAGUAGCGUGAAGGGUGACUGCCCUAUGGGUUGUAAACUUCUUUUAUAUGGGAAUAAAAUGUUCCACGUGUGGGAUUUUGUAUGUACCAUAUGAAUAAGGAUCGGCUAACUCCGUGCCAGCAGCCGCGGUAAUACGGAGGAUCCGAGCGUUAUCCGGAUUUAUUGGGUUUAAAGGGAGCGUAGGUGGAUUGUUAAGUCAGUUGUGAAAGUUUGCGGCUCAACCGUAAAAUUGCAGUUGAAACUGGCAGUCUUGAGUACAGUAGAGGUGGGCGGAAUUCGUGGUGUAGCGGUGAAAUGCUUAGAUAUCACGAAGAACUCCGAUUGCGAAGGCAGCUCACUGGACUGCAACUGACACUGAGGCUCGAAAGUGUGGGUAUCAAACAGGAUUAGAUACCCUGGUAGUCCACACAGUAAAC